CACAGAAGGGAGCUUGCUCCCGGGACGUGAGCGGCGGAUGGGUGAGUAACACGUGGGCAACCUGCCUGUAAGACGGGGAUAACUUCGGGAAACCGGAGCUAAUACCGGAUAAUCCCUCGCACCGCAUGGUGCGAGGUUGAAAGAUGGUUUCGGCCAUCACUUACAGAUGGGCCCGCGGUGCAUUAGUUAGUUGGCGGGGUAACGGCCCACCAAGACCGCGAUGCAUAGCCGACCUGAGAGGGUGAUCGGCCACAUUGGGACUGAGACACGGCCCAA
rnacentral:rRNA from 1 species